rnacentral:lncRNA from 1 species
CAAUGAGCAUUGAUCUAUUCAGGCAGUGCAUAUUAAAAGGAAGCAUGUGGAACUUUAUAUUGGGGCAUAUGAAGAAAGGGAAACUGCAGUUCACAUAGAUAGCAAUAUGGAGUAGAUCAUUGAUCAUAAGAGUCAAAAGAAAGAGGUGUGUCCAAAUAGAAAGUGUCAUGCUAUUGUUACACAUGAUAUGAGUGAAAAAGAAUAAGCAAA